rnacentral:lncRNA from 1 species
GGAAGGGGUAAACCAGGACGCGCUGCCUCUUCUGGCUGCAGGAAGCCGAUUCAUCUGGUAGGAACCCAGGGAGCCGCACUAAGAACAAGGGCCCAGGCUGAACCACAGGAAAAAUGAAGGCUCUCCUGAGUAUCAUAAUGUUUGUGGUCCUAUCUUAUUGUGAUAAUGAUACCCCUUCAUAUGCAGACGUGAACAGAACGACCACAACUUCCUAUAGUGAAUCUAGGCCUAUUAAUAUGACGACAACUGAAAUUACAACAACUGAAGUCAUUCCUCUCUCAUGUCACGUGUGCAGUAUUGAUUACCUGUGUGAAGCCCCAAAAACAUGUAAGCUGACGGACAAAUACUGCGUGAUUGUGAUAAACGUGGAUGAUGAAGCAACGUCUGUACUCAAGUAUUGUUCAGAAACUUGCCCAUUCGGUGAAGGACUUAUAGGAAGACAAUUCCGAAAUUAUUAUACAGGCUGCUGUGUUACCAACUUAUGCAAUUUUGGAAAGAUAGGGGAAGGACACAAGAUGGGAGCCAAUAUUCCAGUGGUAGCAAUGGCAUUAGUAGCAUGUUUCACCGGGGCCUUCCGGAUUGGGCUGUGAGAUGUAGAGAAGAAGUUCUCACCCUCCCCAAAGACCCUGGCCAUGUUGCACUCCCCAUCUGGCAAUAAGAAAUCCACAUCCAUGUCUCCCCAUAAAUCUUUCCAGAAGAAGCCAGUGAGUGUUCUGGAGGCCUUCCUCUGGUUCUCACUAGCCUCAGAAUGCCAAUAUAUAAGCAUAUAUGAGUAUUUAAAGCACUGUAUAACAUGCUCUCACUGUCAAAUGUUUCCCUUCUUUUCCAAGCACGUGUGUCUGUCAUAGUAUCUCUGGAGCCAUUUCUUACAGGCUAAUCCACCUUGAAAGCCUGUUGUGGCCUGUGUCUACUCCAUCAUCCCUUUCCAUUGUCCCUUGGCUUACUUGCAAUUUUGAAUCUUUUCAGAUUGGGGUGUUUCAGGAUUUACCACCAUUGAGUAUCCCUGGGAGACAAACCUCAAAUGAGAAAAUAGAGGUGAAAUGCUUAGCAAACCAUGUCAAGCC